rnacentral:rRNA from 1 species
GACGAACGCUGGCGGCGUGCCUAAUACAUGCAAGUCGAGCGGGCCUCCGGAGGUGCUUGCACCUCCGGAAGGCCAGCGGCGGACGGGUGAGUAACACGUGGGCAACCUGCCUUUGAGGCCGGGAUAACACCGGGAAACCGGUGCUAAUACCGGAUACGUCCUCUUUCGCGCCUGCGAGAGGGGAGAAAGACGGUCUUUAAGGCCGUCGCUCAAAGAGGGGCCCGCGGCGCAUUAGCUGGUUGGUGGGGUAAGGGCCUACCAAGGCGACGAUGCGUUGCCGACCUGAGAGGGUGAUCGGCCACACCGGGACUGAGACACGGCCCAGACUCCUGCGGGAGGCAGCAGUAGGGAAUCAUCCGCAAUGGGCGAAAGCCUGACGGUGCAACGCCGCGUGAGUGAGGAAGGUUUUCGGAUCGUAAAGCUCUGUUGUGAGGGAAGAACAGCUUCCGGAGGAAAUGCCGGAGGUUUGCCGGUACCUCACCAGAAAGCCCCGGCUAACUACGUGCCAGCCGCCGCCGUAAUAC